rnacentral:rRNA from 1 species
UGGGGAAUAUUGCGCAAUGGGCGAAAGCCUGACGCAGCAACGCCGCGUGAGUGAUGAAGGCCUUCGGGUCGUAAAGCUCUGUCGGAGGGAACGAAUGCUCCUGAAGUUAACAGCCUCAGGAGGUGACGGUACCCUCAAAGGAAGCACCGGCUAACUCUGUGCCAGCAGCCGCGGUAAUACAGAGGGUGCAAGCGUUGUUCGGAAUCAUUGGGCGUAAAGGGCGUGUAGGCGGUGCGGUAAGUGCGGUGUGAAAUCCCACGGCUCAACCGUGGAAUUGCGCUGCAUACUGCCGUGCUAGAGGGAGACAGGGGUAAGCGGAACUGAUGGUGGAGCGGUGAAAUGCGUUGAUAUCAUCAGGAACACCGGUGGCGAAAGCGGCUUACUGGGUCUCUUCUGACGCUGAGGCACGAAAGCUAGGGUAGCGAACGGGAUUAGAUACCCCUGUAGUCCCUGAGCGGGCUGGCAAGGCGCAU